rnacentral:rRNA from 1 species
UACGUAGGGGGCUAGCGUUGUCCGGAAUCAUUGGGCGUAAAGAGCGUGUAGGCGGCCCGGUAAGUCCGCUGUAAAAGUCAAAGGCUCAACCUUUGAAUGUCAGUGGAUACUGUCGGGCUAGAGUCCGGAAGAGGCGAGUGGAACUCCUGGUGUAGCGGUGGAAUGCGCAGAUAUCAGGAGGAACACCAAAGGCGAAGGCAGCUCGCUGGGACGGUACUGACGCUGAGGUGCGAAAGCGUGGGGAGCGAACAGG